AAGAAGCACAACAACAUCAGUGUGUUCAAUCAGGGAAUGUGUGGAGAGCACACUGUUAUAAGGCUCGACAACAGCAGUUGAAAUCUGCAACAGGAAAUGGUUUCAGUAUAGAGUAUUUGUACUGUAACAAUGACAGGAAAUGGCUUAAAAGUGAGGCAAGGCAUAUCACACCUGUGUAAUGUCCACGGGCAAAAUUGUUUGCUGCAUCUUCCUUGUAAGAGAUGAGUUGCUCUGGAUGGAAGAGCUGGCGGUAUGACCCGGUCUUCACUUCGUCAAUGACAGUGGGCUCCAAAUCGACAAACAAGGCCCUUGGAACGUGCUUCCCUGCACUCGUUUCACUGAAGAACGUGUUGAAUGCAUCCCUUGCAACCCCAGGAGAGGUAUCACUGCAAGCCAACGGGCCAAAGACUGAGAAUUAGAUAGUGUAAAAUAGGAGAGCUAGGCACACAAAUCGGUAGCAAGUCACAUGCUAUCCUCCCUGAAGCUUGUUUCACAAAACAGGAGCUUUUUUUAUACGCAAAUUUUUCGUAUUU